rnacentral:sRNA from 1 species
GGAACACAGCUUCAUUAAUAGCUUUGGGCAUGAAAACACGUGGAUCGGCCUGAACGACAGGAUCGUGGAGAGAGAUUUCCAGUGGACGGACAACACCGGGCUGCAAUUUGAGAACUGGCGAGAGAACCAGCCGGACAAUUUCUUCGCGGGUGGCGAGGACUGUGUGGUGAUGGUGGCGCAUGAAAGCGGGCGCUGGAACGAUGUCCCCUGCAACUACAACCUACCCUAUGUCUGCAAGAAGGGCACAGUGCUCUGUGGUCCCCCUCCGGCAGUGGAGAAUGCCUCACUCAUCGGUGCCCGCAAGGCCAAGUACAAUGUCCAUGCCACUGUAAGGUACCAGUGCAAUGAAGGAUUUGCCCAGCACCAUGUGGCCACCAUUCGAUGCCGGAGCAAUGGCAAGUGGGACAGGCCCCAAAUUGUCUGCACCAAACGUAAGUAGCUUCUCCCAGAGAUCUCAACAUAGGUUUUUGGUAUUUCUAGUUUCCAAGUAAGACAUCCUAUUUCUCCACACAUUGAUCUGGCUUAAUGUCUGCCUGAUAAUACAGCCUUGCAGAUAAGUGAGAACUUA